UUGGUUAAAGCCAAAAAGAGGCAUAUCACUGUUAAUGAUACCACUGAAGACUUCUUCUAACCAAG
rnacentral:tRNA from 1 species